AUGCACUUUGGCUGCAUGUAUACUAGAAUUGGAACAAUACAGAGAAGAUUAGCAUGGCCCCUGAGCAAGAAUGACAUGCAAAUUCAUGAAGCAUUCCAUAGUUUU
rnacentral:snRNA from 1 species